GCUUACGGCCAUACCAACCUGGCUAUGCCCGAUCUCGUCUGAUCUCGGAAGCUAAGCAGGUUUGGGCCUGGUUUAGUACUGGAUGGGAGCCGCCUGGGAAUACCAGGUGCUGUAAGCU
rnacentral:rRNA from 1 species